AGUGACGUGCUUGACAAAAAGAUUACCUUGAUGUGGUAAAAUAUGGAAGCUAAUCUUCCCGUUACUA
rnacentral:tRNA from 1 species